rnacentral:lncRNA from 1 species
UGAAAGAUAAAAACUAACACAUAUUUAUUAAAUGGUUUUACAAACAAUCAAUAUAAUAAUUCCAUGUUUACAAAAUAGUAAUCAGGCUAGGUAAAGUGAUGCAAAAUACUUUAAAUAAAGACAUUUUUGUAAUUUUCCAGUUUCUGGUUACCUGGACAGGUGUUACAGACUGUUGAUGCUGCUCGUGUGCUGAGAACAGACAAGGAGACUACAGGGAAAUUGUUCAGAAGGCUUAGACAGCCUGGAAAAAGUGCAAAACGAACAAAAACCAAGUAAAACGAGUGUUUCUUCAGAUCCUAUUACUUUGGGUUAACACGAUUUCCCCUCCUCUGCAUGGAAUAUGUUUUUUUUCCCUGAACAAACUGAAGAACGGUAAGUAGUCGUGUAGUACAUACAUACACACAGAAAGCCCUGUGUGCCGAAAACAGGUGCUUGUAUGCUGGAUUUGGCACAGCGAAAGCCACCCACUGGCCAAGCGGUGAUCCCUCUGUCUGUCACUCGGACGUACUAACACAAGGGGAAAUUUCAUGAGCACGAAGGACUGAACUGCAUCCCACAGAACACACCCCCGGCACACACCGUAGGGAUGUGUGAGGAAGCCACUGCAUGGCAAGGGAGGGGGCGCACUUCAACCCCACUACUGCAGAAAUACACUGCUUCCUCCAUUUACUGCUGGGUGAGAGCACAGCAGGUAACACAAGCAAAUACAGCAAGGUGAAGGUUUCUCAAGGGAUUUCCAACUGAAGGCAGUGUGCAAGGGAUCUCACAAAGGACAGAAAUGUUUUCUGUGUGUUUUGCUGUCGAACUGCUGGCAGUGGAAUGUAUCGUGUCCAAGCAAAGUGUUCCUUAUGUGUGCUUCUCUGGGAGAGAAGAGGUGAUUUCCUGCAGAAAAUUAAACAUCUUUCCACUAUCUGAGGAAGAAUACUAAAUGUUACAGUAUUAGCUCCUUCCCAUUAUGCAGUAUUUAGGGACGUGAAUGUAUUUGACUACCAUGAGAAAAUAAAAAUAAAAUUCCAAAGAUACUCAAAUAAGUAAUUAUGCCCCUAAACUUUAAUGAUUCGCUUGUUCAAGUUUUGCUUUGUUUUUCUUUCUUUCUGAAAAAAAAAAAAAAAAAAAGA